ensembl:lncRNA
AUGAGCAAGUUGGAAUGGAUAGGACGCUUGAAAAACAUGGUAAAGAAGAGUCCUUUAUAUUCAAAUUUCAUUAUCGGUUUUGUGAUGCUUGCACUUGAGCAACUUGUGGAGAUAGACUUUGCAUGCCCUUGCAAUCCAAAGCUGAAUCUGCUGUUUUCAGCUGCAUAUUUUGUAGUUCCAGCUCUGUUCUCCUUCGCACUUUUGUUUUAUAUCCAAAGCUCACAAAUCAGCAAUUAUUCAAGCUGUUUGCACUGUGCUUUAGUUUGUCUCACUCCGGCCGUUCUCUGGAUCAUGCUGCUGUUCUUUGAUGGACAAUAUUUUGCCUGUGCAAAGACUUCAUGGGAAGGACUGACAGUUCACACGGAUAUAACUGCUUCAACUACAUGGUGUCAGCCUUUAAUCACACCUGACAACACCACAGAAAAGCAAAUGGCAUUUUUUAGCUAUCGAAAUAAUUCCCAGAUAGUGGGACUGUGCAUACUGCUCCUGAUCUCGCUGCCUCUGGUUUGGAUGGGCAUAAGGAAAUGGCAAUACACACCAACAAGAACCAAAGAACUUGAUAAUGAACAAAUCGAAAUGGUGGAUUUGAGCCCUUCACCCCCUCCUGACAGUACUUCUACAAUUGUGGAUCACAGUAGAGAUGAUUUUUAACAGUUUAAAAUAAAACAGCAGAAGGCAUGUCA